GGCCCUGGUACCUCAGGCUUCUCUGAAACAAAAAUAUCAACAUGGCGCAUGUAUUCUCAUGCAGCAGAAGCCUAACGGGGCCAAGAGUUAGCAGGGUCAGGCAGAGCAUGAAGCAGCGAGCAGAACUGACACAUAGCGAACACGAACUUUUACAGCAGAAAGGAAGAAACGGCUACAGCCCUCGAUAGCAUAAAAGAAAA